rnacentral:rRNA from 1 species
UGGGGAAUCUUCGGCAACGGGCGAAAGCCUGACCGAGCCAUGCCGCGUGCGUGAAGAAGGCCUUAGGGUUGUAAAGCGCUUUCAGCGGGGACGAUGAUGACGGUACCCGCAGAAGAAGCCCCGGCUAACUCCGUGCCAGCAGCCGCGGUAAUACGGAGGGGGCAAGCGUUGUUCGGAAUUACUGGGCGUAAAGGGCGCGUAGGCGGCACAUCAAGUCAGAGGUGAAAGCCCCGGGCUCAACCUGGGAAUUGCCUUUGAAACUGAUGAGCUAGAGUCCGGAAGAGGAUAGCGGAAUUCCCAGUGUAGAGGUGAAAUUCGUAGAUAUUGGGAAGAACACCAGUGGCGAAGGCGGCUAUCUGGUCCGGUACUGACGCUGAGGCGCGAAAGCGUGGGGAGCAAACAGGAUUAGAUACCCCUGUAGUCC